rnacentral:sRNA from 1 species
GUGCCAUCCAUGCCUAAGUCCUUUGUAUAUAUUCACAGAACAAGUAUAGCAGUGGCAGUUGAAGCUUAUGCACAUUGGCAUUGUUUCAAGUCUGACCUAGGGUGACUAUCUCUAGAGGUGAAAGGGUAGAUCAGUCUCCAUACUUAGUCAUUCUUGGUCUCU